rnacentral:rRNA from 1 species
GAUGAACGCUGGCGGCGUGCCUAACACAUGCAAGUCGAACGAAGCUCCUGCGACAGAUUCCUUCGGGAUGAAGAUGCUUGAGACUUAGUGGCGGACGGGUGAGUAACGCGUGGGUAACCUGCCCUGUACUGGGGGACAACAGUUAGAAAUGACUGCUAAUACCGCAUAAGCCUACAGAGUCGCAUGACUUAGUAGGAAAAAUUCUGGUGGUACAGGAUGGGCCCGCGUCUGAUUAGCUAGUUGGUGAGGUAACGGCUCACCAAGGCGACGAUCAGUAGCCGGCUUGAGAGAGUGAACGGCCACAUUGGGACUGAGACACGGCCCAAACUCCUACGGGAGGCAGCAGUGGGGAAUAUUGCACAAUGGGGGAAACCCUGAUGCAGCAACGCCGCGUGAGUGAAGAAGUAUUUCGGUAUGUAAAGCUCUAUCAGCAGGGAAGAAAAUGACGGU